ensembl:lncRNA
AACAGACGCCCUUCUGUAGUGUGGGCAGAGCUGAAUGUGCCCCCGUGGAUGAACACGUGUUGGUUGUGGGCAUUUGAGGUGCUUCCACCUUUUCCCUAAAUGAACAGGGCCACCGUGACCACCCGUGUGGCCAUGCAGCUGCCACCCCUCCAGCCGCCCUGCAUGAGGGCUCCUGGUCUCCUGGCUUCUCCAUCCUGCCCACCCUGCCCUCGCUCUGGGCAGGCACCGUUUUAUGACAAAAGAGCAGCUGUUCUGGGGGACCACCAGGCUGUGCACGGAGCUGCUUUCCACGCAACCGGGGACAGAGGGAGCAGGACACGGGCCACCACUCCAGAAAACGGGGACAGUGUCCCUCUCCACUCUACAAGCGUCAGACCCAGAGCUCCGGAAACCAGCUGAGGAACCAGGCCACGCGGGACCCACAAGGAGCCAGGAGCACCCAUUCUCAGCUCAGUGGGUCUAUUCCCCUUUGCCCUUCAUGGCCUGAGGCACCCCGCAGUGUGAUUGAAAGCCCAGAGCCUGAUCUCAACCCAAAACUGUGUGUCAGUGUGAAAUGCCGAGGCUGCCUGGGCAUCAGAGUUGGCUGCCCCGUGCCAAGAUUCUUCUCCAGGGCUGUGACGAGUUGAGGCCAGGCCUGGGGCCUGGUGGGGGAUGGGGAACCUCCAUUUCUGCCCUUGGUCUCCCAAUGUUCCCCACUCCUCCCCUCAUCCUGCGUCCUCCCCAAGCGUCGGCAGAGCUAGGAUGGACCGUGUGUACCCCACAAUACACCAGGCUGGCCAGCGGGCAGCUGAAGCCCGGGAGACGCGGCCAGGAGGUAGUCCUGGUGCAUGAAUGACUACAGGGAUGGGGGAGGUGCUAAAGGAGUAACGUGAGCCUGCAUCCCCACCUGUGACAGAUAUGGGAGGGCCGCCUGAGCUGACAGUGAAGUUGGGGUGCCAGCUGGGGUCUCCUGGGCAGGUCCUGAACCCAGCUGAGGGGUCCAAAUCCCCCUAUGAGGGGUCUGUGCCUGAAGCCUGGCCCCAGGAGGCAAGACCCACACACCAUGGAUGCAAGGCC